AAUAAACCGAUUUUUCAUUUUUUACCUUCAAUUUUUUGACUCUUCGUCUUAUUCAAAUUUUUUUACGAUUGAUAUUUUUGUUUUUAUUAGAUGAUAAAUCAUGAAUAGUACUUUACGUGUGGCUAAUUUUUUUUCUAAUUUUCUAAAAAAUUUUCAAAUAAGACGGAUGGUCAAACGUUGGACACGAAAACCGA
rnacentral:pre_miRNA from 1 species